GAUGAACGCUAGCGGCAGGCUUAAUACAUGCAAGUCGUGGGGCAGCGCAGGUAGCAAUACUGGGCGGCGACCGGCAAACGGGUGCGGAACACGUACACAACCUUCCGAGAAGUGGGGAAUAGCCCAGAGAAAUUUGGAUUAAUACCCCGUAACAUAACGAUGUGGCAUCACAUUGUUAUUAUAGCUUCGGCGCUUCUUGAUGGGUGUGCGGCUGAUUAGAUAGUUGGCGGGGUAACGGCCCACCAAGUCUACGAUCAGUAGCUGAUGUGAGAGCAUGAUCAGCCACACGGGCACUGAGACACGGGCCCGACUCCUACGGGAGGCAGCAGUAAGGAAUAUUGGUCAAUGGACGCAAGUCUGAACCAGCCAUGCCGCGUGAAGGAUUAAGGUCCUCUGGAUUGUAAACUUCUUUUAUCUGGGACGAAAAAAGGGAAUUCUUUCUCACUUGACGGUACCAGAUGAAUAAGCACCGGCUAACUCCGUGCCAGCCGCCGCGGUAAGAC
rnacentral:rRNA from 1 species